rnacentral:rRNA from 1 species
UACGUAGGGGGGCUAGCGUUGUCCGGAAUCAUUGGGCGUAAAGAGCGUGUAGGCGGCCCGGUAAGUCCGCUGUAAAAGUCAAAGGCUCAACCUUUGAAUGCCAGUGGAUACUGCCGGGCUAGAGUCCGGAAGAGGCGAGUGGAACUCCUGGUGUAGCGGUGGAAUGCGCAGAUAUCAGGAAGAACACCAACGGCGAAGGCAGCUCGCUGGGACGGUACUGACGCUGAGACGCGAAAGCGUGGGGAGCGAACAGG